UAAGGCCGCGGUAGGAAACUAACACAUCUCUCACUAGCUAAUCUGCAUGGGGCAAGAAUUUUUAGACAUCCCCAGAAGGGAGAUAAAAGGUUAUUCUAAAGACAACUGGACUUCAUACUUCAUGGAAUCUGAACCACUGCAGCGCACUCAGGGCACGUACUUCCCUCUGAUAGCCUAGGCCCCUAGUAAUUAUACCAUCUGUGGGGUCCACCAAGCCCCUGGACGCCUUGGAAAGACAUGCUACCCUUCCUACUGGCCUAAGCGAACAGGAUACCAGCAGCAGCUGUCCACCGGAAGCCACCAUCUGGUGCACAGCAGGUUAUGUGGCCAGAGAACAGUACCCCUGAUGGAUUGAUCUGCUCACCAUCACUGAAUAUGGAAGGGAGCCAGCAGCAUGCCUUGUGGUGUGCACUCUACUUGACCUGAGGUGACUUCCAUCACCUGGCCACCCCUCAUGGGUUGGGAAUGCACCCAGCCUGCUGGGAGGUGACCCCACCUCAGACCUGGCUGAACUCCGAAAGGCACAUCUGCAGCCUCUGGCAGCUUCUGCUGUAUCAUCUGCUUCCAAGUUGUGAGUUCUUUUCCCUGCCCGGAACCUGGAAACAAAGCUGCACAUUGUGGAGGAACAGAGCGAUUGUCUAACAGAAAACCCCAUG